rnacentral:lncRNA from 1 species
AAUAAUAUCAUUUUGGUAAGAUUCUUCCAGACAGUAUGAUUAGGAUGUUACAUAAAUCAAACUGUGCUAUAUACAGUAUGCAGAGAAGGAAAUUCCUUAGCUUGUCUAAAGUCUGAUAGUGUGAAGAAUUUGCUGACCUGCUCUCCAUGCCUGUCUGAGCACGAGUGAAGUGAAUCAGAGAGAGAUUGCAAGAUGGAGAAAGGAGGUACAGUUGGAGAGAGUGGAGGGGGCAGGAAAGACCAGACAGAGCUGCAUCUCCCAUGAAAACAACUGUGUACAUAAGAUAGAGUGAGUACAUAGAGUACAUAGAAGAGUGAGCUCUGAAAGAACUCUCACAUGGACCCCAGAAAGAGGAGUACUCAACGCCUGCUGCACAGAAGGCAUCAGCAGUUAAGUACUGGCUAGAAAAGCGGAGUCCAUCAAAGGAGAGGACCACAGUGGUAGCUGCCUGUUACAAGCUAUUGAGGCACUCCAGAGUGACGGCAUGUGAUCCCCCUGACACAAGAAACAGGCCCAGAUAACACACCGUUCAGACCGACAGCAGUUCUGGUUAUGCUGCAGUACAUCAGACGAGUGCUCUUAUCCAUCCACAGUUCUUAUCACAGUUACUUAUGCAUAUAUUCAUUUUUUAUAUAAAAGAAUCUUGAAUCGGUCACUUAAAUAUUGAAUCUCAAUAAUAAAAAAUACUAAAAGUAUA